UACAGAGGGUGCAAGCGUUAAUCGGAAUUACUGGGCGUAAAGCGUGCGUAGACGGUUAUGUAAGUCAGAUGUGAAAGCCCCGGGCUCAACCUGGGAAUUGCAUUUGAGACUGCAUAGCUAGGGUGCGGAAGAGGGAAGCGGAAUUUCCGGUGUAGCGGUGAAAUGCGUAGAGAUCGGCAGGAACACCCAGGGGGAAACCAGUCGACUGGGCAUCUACUGACGCUGAGGUGCGAGAGCGUGGGGAGCGAACCGG
rnacentral:rRNA from 1 species